rnacentral:rRNA from 1 species
UCGAGCGGUAAGGCCCUUCGGGGUACACGAGCGGCGAACGGGGAGUAACACGUGGGUGAUCUGCCUCGCACUCUGGGAUAAGCCUGGGAAACUGGGUCUAAACCGGAUAUGACCACGAUCGCAUGGUUUGUGGUGGAAAGGUUUACUGGUGCGAGAUGGGCCCGCGGCCUAUCAGCUUGUUGGUGGGGUAACGGCCUACCAAGGCGACGACGGGUAGCCGGCCUGAGAGGGCGACCGGCCACACUGGGACUGAGACACGGCCCAGACUCCUACGGGAGGCAGCAGUGGGGAAUAUUGCACAAUGGGCGAAAGCCUGAUGCAGCGACGCCGCGUGAGGGAUGACGGCCUUCGGGUUGUAAACCUCUUUCGACAGGGACGAAGCGCAAGUGACGGUACCUGUAGAAGAAGCACCGGCCAACUACGUGCCAGCAGCCGCGGUAAUACGUAGGGUGCGGCGUUGUCCGGAAUUACUGGGCGUAAAGAGCUUGUAGGCGGUCUGUCGCGUCGAUCGUGAAAACGUGCAGCUCAACUGCGCGCCUGCGGUCGAUACGGGCAGACUAGAGUACUUCAGGGGAGACUGGAAUUCCUGGUGUAGCGGUGAAAUGCGCAGAUAUCAGGAGGAACACCGGUGGCGAAGGCGGGUCUCUGGGAAGUAACUGACGCUGAGAAGCGAAAGCGUGGGUAGCGAACAGGAUUAGAUACCCUGGUAGUCCACGCCGUAAACGGUGGGUACUAGGUGUGGGUUUCCUUCCACGGGAUCCGUGCCGUAGCUAACGCAUUAAGUACCCCGCCUGGGGAGUACGGCCGCAAGGCUAAAACUCAAAGGAAUUGACGGGGGCCCGCACAAGCGGCGGAGCAUGUGGAUUAAUUCGAUGCAACGCGAAGAACCUUACCUGGGUUUGACAUACACCGGAAAGCCGUAGAGAUACGGCCCCCCUUGUGGUCGGUGUACAGGUGGUGCAUGGCUGUCGUCAGCUCGUGUCGUGAGAUGUUGGGUUAAGUCCCGCAACGAGCGCAACCCUUAUCUUAUGUUGCCAGCGCGUAAUGGCGGGGACUCGUGAGAGACUGCCGGGGUCAACUCGGAGGAAGGUGGGGACGACGUCAAGUCAUCAUGCCCCUUAUGUCCAGGGCUUCACACAUGCUACAAUGGCCGGUACAGAGGGCUGCGAUACCGCGAGGUGGAGCGAAUCCCUUAAAGCCGGUCUCAGUUCGGAUCGGGGUCUGCAACUCGACCCCGUGAAGUUGGAGUCGCUAGUAAUCGCAGAUCAGCAACGCUGCGGUGAAUACGUUCCCGGGCCUUGUACACACCGCCCGUCACGUCAUGAAAGUCGGUAACACCCGAAGCCGGUGGCCUAACCCUCUGGGAGGGAGCCGUCGAAGGUGGGAUUGGCGAUUGGGACG